rnacentral:rRNA from 1 species
GACGAACGCUGGCGGCGUGCUUAACACAUGCAAGUCGAACGAAGUGGCGAACGGGGGAGUAACGCGUAAUCAACCUGCCCUUCAGAGGGGGACAACAGUUGGCAACGACUGCUAAUACCGCAUACUGAAGGAGGGGAUUGCGUCUGAUUAGCUAGUUGGAGGGGGAACGGCCCACAAAGGCGAUGAUCAGUAGCCGGUCCGGGAAGAUGAACGGCCACAUUGGGACUGAGACACGGCCCAGACUCCUACGGGGGGCAACAGUGGGGAAUCUUCCGCAAUGGACGAAAGUCUGACGGAGCAACGCCGCGUGGGUGAUGACGGCCUUCGGGUUGUAAAGCUCUGUUAAUCGGGACGCGGUACCGGAAUAGAAAGCCACGGCUAACUCCGUGCCAGCCGCCGCGGUAAUAC